UACAGAGGGUGCGAGCGUUGUUCGGAAUUAUUGGGCGUAAAGCGCUGGUAGGUGGCUUGUUAAGUCGCGUGUGAAAGCUUCCGGCUCAACCGGAAAAGUGCGCGCGAAACUGGCGAGCUUGAGUGAGGAAGAGGGUUAUGGAAUUCCCAGUGUAGAGGUGAAAUUCGUAGAUAUUGGGAAGAACACCGGUGGCGAAGGCGGCAACCUGGUCCUUUACUGACGCUGAGGCGCGAAAGCGUGGGGAGCAAACAGG
rnacentral:rRNA from 1 species